rnacentral:rRNA from 1 species
AUUGAACGCUGGCGGCAUGCCUUACACAUGCAAGUCGAACGGCAGCACGGGUGCUUGCACCUGGUGGCGAGUGGCGAACGGGUGAGUAAUACAUCGGAACAUUUCCUGUAGUGGGGGAUAGCCCGGCGAAAGCCGGAUUAAUACCGCAUACGAUCUACGGAUGAAAGCGGGGGACCUUCGGGCCUCGCGCUAUAGGGUUGGCCGUGGGCUGAUUGGCUAGUUGGUGGGGUAAAGGCCUACCACGGCGACGAGCAGUAGAUGAUCUGGGAGGACGACCAGCCGCACGGGGAGUGGGACACGGACCAGAGUCCUGCGGGAGGCAGCAGUGGGGAAUUUUGGACAGUGGGCGAGAGCAUGAUCCAGCAAUGGCGCGUGUGUGACGAAGGCCUUGGGGUUGUGAAGAACUUUUGUCCGGAAAGAACUGCUUGGCCCUGAUACAGUCGGGGGAUGACGGUAACGGAAGAAUAAGCACCGGCUAACUACGUG